AACGCUGGCGGCGUGCUUAACACAUGCAAGUCGAACGAUGAUCCCAGCUUGCUGGGGGAUUAGUGGCGAACGGGUGAGUAACACGUGAGUAACCUGCCCUUAACUCUGGGAUAAGCCUGGGAAACUGGGUCUAAUACCGGAUAUGACUCCUCAUCGCAUGGUGGGGGGUGGAAAGCUUUAUUGUGGUUUUGGAUGGACUCGCGGCCUAUCAGCUUGUUGGUGAGGUAAUGGCUCACCAAGGCGACGACGGGUAGCCGGCCUGAGAGGGUGACCGGCCACACUGGGACUGAGACACGGCCCAGACUCCUACGGGAGGCAGCAGUGGGGAAUAUUGCACAAUGGGCGAAAGCCUGAUGCAGCGACGCCGCGUGAGGGAUGACGGCCUUCGGGUUGUAAACCUCUUUCAGUAGGGAAGAAGCGAAAGUGACGGUACCUGCAGAAGAAGCGCCGGCUAACUACGUGCCAGCAGCCGCGGUAAUACGUAGGGCGCAAGCGUUAUCCGGAAUUAUUGGGCGUAAAGAGCUCGUAGGCGGUUUGUCGCGUCUGCCGUGAAAGUCCGGGGCUCAACUCCGGAUCUGCGGUGGGUACGGGCAGACUAGAGUGAUGUAGGGGAGACUGGAAUUCCUGGUGUAGCGGUGAAAUGCGCAGAUAUCAGGAGGAACACCGAUGGCGAAGGCAGGUCUCUGGGCAUUAACUGACGCUGAGGAGCGAAAGCAUGGGGAGCGAACAGGAUUAGAUACCCUGGUAGUCCAUGCCGUAAACGUUGGGCACUAGGUGUGGGGGACAUUCCACGUUUUCCGCGCCGUAGCUAACGCAUUAAGUGCCCCGCCUG
rnacentral:rRNA from 1 species